UACAGAGGUCUCAAGCGUUGUUCGGAUUCAUUGGGCGUAAAGGGUGCGUAGGCGGUGAGGCAAGUCAGGUGUGAAAUCCCGGAGCUCAACUCCGGAACUGCACUUGAUACUGCCUUGCUAGAGUACUGGAGAGGAGACUGGAAUUUACGGUGUAGCAGUGAAAUGCGUAGAGAUCGUAAGGAAUACCAGUGGCGAAGGCGAGUCUCUGGACAGUUACUGACGCUGAGGCACGAAGGCCAGGGGAGCAAACAGG
rnacentral:rRNA from 1 species